CCUUCGAUAGCUCAGUUGGAAGAGCGCAAGACUGUAAAGGCUACCACAUUAGCAAUCUUGAUGUCGCUGGUUCGAUCCCGGCUCGAAGGA
rnacentral:tRNA from 2 species